rnacentral:lncRNA from 1 species
AUGCCGUCCUGCCUCUCAGGCCUCGGUCUGUUUCAAACCUGCAGAGGAACGGGAGCCUGGAGUGCAGCAGUGAUGAUGAGCAUGUGGCUAACCGCUCAAGACGCCCUGUGGACCGUCAGAGACCAGCUGGAAAGGAGGAACAUGAAGACCCUCCAGAUGGAUGCAGCUGUAGACCAAGGAGCCACAAAGAGGGAUGGCCUCUGCUCGUUCUGAGGAAGGAGCCGGAGCCACUCGGGGAGAGGUCGGAGCAGCAGCAGCGCCGCUCUCCAGGUGCUACAGACCAGGACCACGGCCUCUUGACUGGGUAAGGCCUCCCUGCACUGCUGCACAAACAGGGACAUGCAAAGACCAGUUGGACUAAUGUCUUCUAAUGAUCAUCUCAGCAGGUCCCUGCUUGGGUCAACUGUUGAUUUUACGUUCAUUCAUUUUCUAGACAGACUGACUCCUGUGCAGUAGAUUAAAGAGGUUUAAUAUCUGAGGCUUUAACUCGGCUGUUCUGCGAUCAAGUACCUUUUUAAAAGAGCUUUAAAGUGUUACUUUGUUUAUACUUUGAGUAAUUUGAACCUUCCCUCCGUAGCACAUGUGGUUUCAUAGUCAUGCUCAUCAGAACUGAGACAUAGGGUUUGAUAUAGUACUCUGGGUGAUUUAGCAGUAGCAAUAUUCCUGCUUUAAUAAGCAUAUCACAAGAAACAGAAGAACACUUCAACAAAGAUUAAUCAUUUAAAUGAUGUUAUUUAUAAUAUAUAUAUUAUAACAAUAAUUGCUUAUGCACAGCAGUUAGUUACAGUCUUUAGCACAGAGUCUUUGUACAUGUGACACUUCUGCUCCUCAGUCUGAGGGCUUUUCCUUCAGCUUGUACUACGUAGCUCUGGCUCGGCGAGCCGAGGGUCUGAUUGACAGGUGGAGGAAGAGGCUGUCUGGCGGCCUUAUGUGCUGUGUGGAGGGCCCAGGUGUAGAAAUGGAUGGUGUAGGCCUUGUGGGGCCACUGUUGGUGGGACUGUCUGGCAGGUGUCAUUAUGUCUGUCCUUCCCUUUAACACCGCUGUCUCUGCAGGCUAGGUGUGUUCAUACUCCUUUAGAGCGUAGUCUGUUGGUGGCUGGUGUGGAGAUGGAGGUUGUGUUUUGUGAUGGUAUGGGGUUGUUGGGUUGAGUGCAGGUUGAGGACCCUCUUCUGGGGCUGCUUGUUCCUCCACGGCUGGAGAAGCUUGUUCUUCUGCUCGGUGGUGAGUUACAGCUUGUUGUCCGUCAGGCUCAUCUCCACAAGCACAGAGCAGAACAUCUGCAGCUUUUAAAAUCCAGGAAGAGGGUUCGACAGAAACUCCUGUCAACCGUGACAAACAGAUCUGGUUACAUUUCAAAUCUGGUGUCUGAACCUGGGGUAUAUUCUAGCUGAGGCACAAGCUACUCGCAAAAGCCGGCAGGUGAAUGGUUGAAGUCUCAUACUCCAACCUGAGCAGCUGGUCUGAGGGCACAGCAGCAGGGUUUAGAGAGCUUCCCCCAGUCUCUCCAAACAGCUGUUGACAGUCAGUGUUCAGGCGGCUGAUCCAAGGUACAGUCCUGUGACGCCGUCCUUUGCCACCAAAUGAGCUUCUGUCAGCAUUCCAACCUGCAGUCCCAGUUAUCAGCUCACCCUGAUACAGCGUUAGAAGAAGGACACAGUCUCAUGUUUGAUCUGUUAGAGACAACACCAACACAUCUGGACUCAUGUUAGGCAGAGUCCAGGAAGUCCCCCACAUUCUACUCCCACACAGACGUUGAUAAUAUGUUGUCAUAGGGCAGAUCCACACCACCUAAUGUUGUGGUAAAACAUUUGAUAGAUUAAGGAUCUUUAUGAAAUGCUAGUGUCACUUUAAAAGAAAGUUCUCAUCAGUUCUGAUCUGUGUCUGUGUCUACAGCAGUGUUCCUCCAGCCCACAUCAUCCUGUGCAGUUCACACCCCCAACCAGUAGGUGGCAGCAGUCAGAGGACAGUCAGUUGUCCACCACGAGUUAACAAAGGAACAGGAAGUGGCUGCACAGGGAGCAGAGAACAUGUGGGUUUGUGUGUUUUUUCCUCUUUUCUCUGAAUGUCAGAUGUGGAUCAAACACUCAGUGGUUACAUCAACAUGUAGACGUGGCUCCUUUAAUCUGGGGUCCAACUGUUGGUCGUCUGUGGGACAGUAAAUACAUGACAUGUUUUAAGGUUAGCCUUGUUGUGCUGCAUUGCAUGAUGGGAAAUGUGACCAGUGUCGUUUAAAAUAAAAUGUGUAUUAUCGUCA